rnacentral:rRNA from 1 species
AGCCCUAGAAAAAAUCUAAGGUGUAACCUGCCCAGUGGUUUUUAAAUAAAAAAAAUAAAAGUUUUUAAAUAAAACUAAAAGGACGCGGUAACCUUGACCGUGAUAACGUAGCAUAAUCACUCGCCAUUUAAUUGAUGGAUAGUAUGAAUGGUUGAACGAAUAUUCCACUGUCUUAAAAAGAAUUAAAAGAAACUGAAAUAAUAGUUAAGAUGCUAUUUUAAACUGUAAGACGAAAAGACCCUAUAGAGCUUCACUAUAAUCUCUAUUUUAAUUUUAAAAAUUUAUUUUCCAAUAAUAGAGAUAGGUAGUUUAGUUGGGGCGACUGUCUUCUAAAAAUAACGAAGACAAGCAAUAUCAAUAAAGAUUAAUUGUAUAAUUCAAUUAUUUAACAAUUACAAAAGUAGGCUAUAGUGACCCGUUAAUUUCUUAAAAAAGAAUUAACGAUCAAUUGAUAAAAGCUACCUUAGGGAUAACAGGAUAAUUUCAUUUUAGAGUCCAUAUCGAAAAUGAAGUUUGUCACCUCUAUGUUGAAUUAAGAUAUCCUGAUAAUGCAGAAGUUAUCAAAGGUAGGUCUGUUCGACCUUUAAAAUCUUA